rnacentral:rRNA from 1 species
CUACGGGGUGCUCCAGUAAGGAAUAUUGCGCAAUGGAGGCAACUCUGACGCAGCUAUGCCGCGUGCAGGAAGAAGGCCUUAUGGGUCGUAAACUGCUUUUAUUUAGGAAUAAACCCCCGAACGUGUUCGGGGCUGAAGGUACUAAACGAAUAAGCACCGGCUAACUCCGUGCCAGCAGCCGCGGUAAUACGGAGGGUGCAAGCGUUAUCCGGAUUUAUUGGGUUUAAAGGGUGCGCAGGCGGGCUAUUAAGUCAGUGGUGAAAUCCCGGGGCUCAACUCCGGAACUGCCAUUGAUACUGAUAGUCUUGAGUGUGGUUGAAGUGGGUGGAAUGUAGCAUGUAGCGGUGAAAUGCAUAGAUAUGCUACAGAACACCAAUCGCGAAGGCAGCUCACUAAGCCAAAACUGACGCUCAUGCACGAAAGCGUGGGGAUCAAACAGGAUUAGAUACCCUUGUAGUC